AUUGUGUGUGUGUGUGUGUGUGUGUGUGUGUGUGUAUAUAUAUACAUAUACAUACAUACACCCACCCACAUAACCA